UAUGGGGUCUUCUUAUAGCGUACUUGUGGUCUCUCCCUGAUCCCUCCUAGCUCCCCACUUUCUUUCGCAAUCUCUUCUCCAUUUGGCUUUGUUCUAGAAUUUUAUGGUAUCCUCAUCUGUUUCAACAAAAGUUGGGUUUCUAUGUUCUUUAUAUUCAUUAUUCUAGUCUUAGCUUCUAGCAUUUUUGCAGAUGAAUUCUCAUAUUACAAGUUGGCACAACGAUGGCCAAAUUGUCUUUGAAAUCUGGGUGUUCCUUGUUCAAAGAAACGUGAGGAGAUUAAAACGAGCUAUCAAAGAUUUUUAAUACACGUACUGUUGCAUUUCUGGGCAAAUAAUUCCAAGGUAGAUCCUUGUCCGAGAACUGAAUUGACAAGUUGCCUGGUGAAAGGAUCUACCACAAAAUUAUUUGCCCAGAAAGGCCAUAGUCUGUGUAUUAAAAAUCUCUGAUACCUCGUUUUAAUCUCCUUAGGUUUCUUUGAACAAGGAACACCCAAAUUGCAUAGAGAAUUUGGUCAUUUGAGUGUCAUUCUUGGAAAAUACAGCCAAAGAAACCUUGCAAAAAGAGUGGAUAAUCCAACUUUGCGCAAAUAUAGACCAACUGAAACAACAGCGCAAAAAAAAAAAUCAAUUAUUAUCCUCUCAAUUGAUUCUGCAAAAAAAUAUGAAACAUGCUGAUCAACCUAUAAUAUGAUAUGAUUUUGUAAAGUUAACUUCAUUUUCGAAACUCCUAUCAAACUACAUUUUGUAAACUUGUAUCAAAUUUCUUUACGAUGUA